GAUGAACGCUGGCGGCGUGCCUAAUACAUGCAAGUCGAGCGAACAGAUAAGGAGCUUGCUCCUUUGACGUUAGCGGCGGACGGGUGAGUAACACGUGGGUAACCUACCUAUAAGACUGGGAUAAAUUCGGGAAACCGGAGCUAAUACCGGAUAAUAUUUCGAACCGCAUGGUUCGAUAGUGAAAGAUGGUUUUGCUAUCACUUAUAGAUGGACCCGCGCCGUAUUAGCUAGUUGGUAAGGUAACGGCUUACCAAGGCGACGAUACGUAGCCGACCUGAGAGGGUGAUCGGCCACACUGGAACUGAGACACGGUCCAGACUCCUACGGGAGGCAGCAGUAGGGAAUCUUCCGCGAUGGGCGAAAGCCUGACGGAGCAACGCCGCGUGAGUGAUGAAGGUCUUCGGAUCGUAAAACUCUGUUAUUAGGGAAGAACAUACGUGUAAGUAACUGUGCACGUCUUGACGGUACCUAAUCAGAAAGCCACGGCUAACUACGUG
rnacentral:rRNA from 1 species